UUCUGCCCAUAUCGCCUGCUUACUAACCUGCAGGAUUUUGAAGAGAGACCAGCAGGAACUUUUUGGCUGUUGUGACUAGUGGCAGCAAGAAUACUUGCAUAUGCAUGAAUGCUCUCCUACCCUUGCAAAAAUGAAUGAAGUGAAUAUUUACUAGACCAAGGAUGAUAUAAGUGGAAUAGUGCCCUCUCUAGUGCUGGCUCCCACUGAGCUCCCAGUGAUGCCAGGAUAAGCACCGCUGCCCUGUAACCCUGAACGUGUCUGGUGGUCCAAACUCAGAGGAUGCACUUGCAAACUGUAGGCCUCAAGGACACCGUGAGACCUGUGAAGAAACUGAACACCGGUGCACGACUUCACAAUAACCCUCAUUGGAGAGCUACUCGUCAAACACAAGGCUCAGACCCUCAUUGGAACUAAAUGCACUAAGAAGGACGGAGAAUGGACAGAUGGACUGAUGACCUGUGCAAACAAACUGAGAAAAAUGAGCUUGGACUACAAAUGAGACUGAGGUUAUCCAUAAACAUGUCUGCUCGUAACUGCUAGCGGAGGGUCAGAAAACCAAAAAACACAACGUUGGAGACGGCUGCUUCC